CAGAAAUUCCGUUUUAGUUGCCAAUGAGCUAGUAUGGUAUAAGGAAGUUCCAUCCCAGAAAAAAUAUUUGGCUUGCUGCAAGUAAAGAGACUUUUUAUAAAAUACUGUAACAGACUUUGUGUCAAGCCAGCAAUUGCAACAGCGCAAAGAAGAAGAGAAGCUGUGAAAUUCUCUCGAACGGGUAUUUUCCAAUCGCUUUGAAAUUUUGUUCUGUUCUGCUUCUUGUGGGCUUGGUCAGCAUCAGCUAUUUACUCGCAAGGCACAGAGGAAUCUUGGGACAUUGAUGCUGUGGCGAAAACUGAUGUUGUGGUGGAAAUAUUUGUGGCAAAAGCACAGACUCUGAAGAAGCUUUCGUUUCACCUGGAUUAAAAUAAGGUUACCAGACGUCCCUGUUUCCCGGGGAUAGUCCCUGGAUUUACAAAUCGGUCCCCUGACAAAAUCCAUCUAUUUAGUAGGAAGUUGAAAAGUGUCCCCGGAUUCAUUGAAAAAAAAUCUGGUAACCUUAUAUUAAAAGCAGUCACGAAGACAAAACAGGGAAGUGGAAUACGUAUUAAGUACAGCUUGGCUGGACAAAGUAUCUGAUUAAAGCACACGAUUAAGUGGUACGUAUUUUAAAAGGGUGUUUUCUCACCACAUCACCUAGCCAAACUGUGUUUGAAUCUGCAAUCCAGUGAUCUGCUUUGAACAUAUCUCAAGAAACUGGAAAACUCAGUGUAACUAGAGCUGAGUAGUAUUUACUGUGAAAUCUGCGGAUCCUCCUGGGAGAAAGGAAAGAUGGGUUCCUCUGAAACUGAAAUGACAGAGCAAAGGCUUCACAUGAAUCCAGCUGUAGCAGAGAAUGGGGAAAGUUGUGGAAAUGUAAGUAGGCCUACUACCGGUAGAAGCAAGAGGAGUCCAAAACAGGGCCGUUGCCUAGAUGGUAAGUGAGUUCUGAUGUGAAAGGCAUGAGUUUGUCUCCACCUGCUGUCAGAAAAGUUAUGGAUUUGCUGCUGGGAUGAGAACUGGCCAACUAAUCAAAUCCAUGAAGAAUAUACUUUAUUCAGGCAGUUAAAAGUAGUUGAAAAAGGAUAGGUACAUAGACACUCAUGUGAAAAUUGAUUUGAGAAGAUUGAGCACAGGGCUGUCUUAAGCAUACCUGGCGCCGUGGUGCGAUGGAUCCCUCCGGUGCCCCCCCGCCCCGUUUCCCAGUGCGGCUGCCGCCUGCAGGGCCAGCACCCUGCGCCACCCAGCCUGGCCGUAGGGGCGGCCCUGGGCCAGGGGG